rnacentral:rRNA from 1 species
AGCGAACGUUAGCGGCGCGCCUAACACAUGCAAGUCGCACGAGAAACGGAGCAAUCCGCGGUACAGUGGCGCACGGGUGAGUAACACGUGGAUGACCUUCCCUGGAGUGGUGGAUAACCUGCCGAAAGGCGGGCUAAUACAGCAUGGGACCACGACGCUUUGGCGAUGUGGUGAAAGCGGGCCUCUAUAUAUAAGCUCGCGCUCCGGGACGGGUCCGCGUCCCAUCAGCUAGUUGGUGAGGUAACGGCUCACCAAGGCAACGACGGGUAGCUGGUCUGAGAGGAUGGCCAGCCACACUGGAACUGAGACACGGUCCAGACUCCUACGGGAGGCAGCAGUGGGGAAUCUUGCGCAAUGGGCGAAAGCCUGACGCAGCGACGCCGCGUGGGCGAAGAAGGCCUC